GUGCACGCUCUGUUUACACAUCCACUCACACCUGUGCACCCUCCGUAGUUCUAUGGUCUGGGGGACCCYGUCUUCCUGCCGUGGUUCUACGUCUUUACACACACUCUGUAAUAAAGUCUUAUGGAAUGUAUGCCGCGUCUAACGCAAUACAAUACAACUUUCAGCAACGGAUCUCUUGGCUCUCGCAUCGAUGAAGAACGCAGCGAAAUGCGAUAAGUAAUGUGAAUUGCAGAAUUCAGUGAAUCAUCGAAUCUUUGAACGCACCUUGCGCCCCUUGGCUAUUCCGAGGGGCAUGCCUGUUUGAGUAUCAUGAACACCUCAACUCUCAUGGUUCGCCGUGAUGAGCUUGGACUCUGGGGGUUUUGCUGGCCUGCGGUCGGCUCCCCUCAAAUGAAUCAGCCUCCCAGUGUUUGGUGGCAUCACGGGUGUGAUAAAUAUCUACGCUCACGGUUGUCUGCCAGGUAACCUUUGGUGACAAAGGUUUGCUGGAGCUCACAGAUGUCUCUCCUCGGCGAGGACAGCUUUUUUGAACGUUCGAUCUCAAAUCAGGUAGGACUACCCGCUGAACUUAAGCAUAUCAAUAAGGCGGAG
rnacentral:rRNA from 1 species